rnacentral:rRNA from 1 species
GAUGAACGCUAGCUACAGGCUUAACACAUGCAAGUCGAGGGGAAACGACAUCGAAAGCUUGCUUUUGAUGGGCGUCGACCGGCGCACGGGUGAGUAACGCGUAUCCAACCUGCCCAUCACUUGGGAAUAACCUUGCGAAAGUAAGACUAAUACCCAAUGAUAUCCCACGAAGGCAUCGGAAUGGGAUUAAAGAUUUAUCGGUGAUGGAUGGGGAUGCGUCUGAUUAGCUUGUUGGCAGGGUAACGGCCCACCAAGGCAACGAUCAGUAGGGGUUCUGAGAGGAAGGUCCCCCACAUUGGAACUGAGACACGGUCCAAACUCCUACGGGAGGCAGCAGUGAGGAAUAUUGGUCAAUGGGCGAGAGCCUGAACCAGCCAAGUAGCGUGCAGGAAGACGGCCCUAUGGGUUGUAAACUGCUUUUAUAAGGGAAUAAAGUGGGUCACGUGUGACUUUUUGCAUGUACCUUAUGAAUAAGGACCGGCUAAUUCCGUG